AAAACAAACGAGUUCAAAGCAGAAAUGGAAUCACAAAGGAGAUUAGCAGAGGAGAAAACAUCUCCUGUGAAAGAAUUUCCCUUUUUUGUUUUAAUGGGUAGUUCUAACGGCUAGAUUUCAUAAACUUGGGUGAGGGUUUUCUUCCCCUGUUCUCUCUCCUUUUUGGGUUUUAUAUGGUUCUUCUUGAUCUGAGGAAAAAAAAAAAAAACAAGGAAGAUGUUUAUUGAGUUACAGGGUUACGGAUUAUAACUAUUCAAAGUAGAUGAAAAGUACAGAGAGAAACAGUCUUCAGAGCUGAUGGGUAUACAGAUUUGGGAUUAUUAGUGUAGGAUUUCAACCUUCUUCCGGAAGAAGAACCAGAAGAACGAGGAGAGAUGUGAAGGAUUUGUGGGUUCUAAUCAGAUAAGUUUGAAGUUGCUAAGGGCAAUGUAACUAUCACUCAUUUAAGACAUGAUAGUUUGGAGUUGCAGAGUCAGAAUCUCAUAGACGAAGGGGAGGCAAGAACGGAAGAGGGUUUGCAGAAGCGAGAAUCUCGGUUCGUUUCCUUCUUCCUCAUUUGCAGAGUCUUUCCCAGUUUCAGAUCGUCCUUGAAAAUAGGGAAGGAAGAGGGUUCACAGCUUCGUCAUUCUUCUUCGUCCUUGUGCUUCACAGAGCAGGUGGCUUGGGGAUAAGCGUUUAUUUCAAGUUUAAAAGCAACUUCAUCUUCAACCGUCAGAUUUAAUGAGGACAGGUGUCAGUCAUUGGCGAAGAAUUGGCAGAUCAAGAAUUGGAGACGAGCAAAAUCCCGCUCGGAGAGCCCCUCUUCCUUUUAUUGAAACGUGGAAUGGCGAAUUGGCAACAGACCCUAAUCGAAUCCUUUUCCCGCUCCAAUCUGAAGCCCAAUUGAGGUCUUUUUCCCGCCAAAGAUAAAGUAGAAGACAAUCCGACCUACCCCUCUCUUUAUUCUUUGAUUUCAAUUCAGUUUCUGUCUUCUGCUUCGUUGCAAUUCUCGGGUACCAUCUCUCUCUUCCAUUAGGUGAAAGAGUGAACUUCCUGAAGUGAACGACAAAUAGGCUGAAGCCGCUGAACAAAACGUGGUUGAUCGGGAUAUGCCACAUGCAUGCUCUUUCAAAAUUUUGAGGGCUUUGUAAGUAUUCCCUCUCACCCUAUAUCAUUGCAUUUGUCAACUCUCUUAUUUAUGUACAUAAGUGCUUAGGAACCAAACUGUUGUGCUUCAUUUUAAAGUUACAGGAUUUAUAAAAUUGCUGCUCUCUUAUUCGAUGUCCUGGUUUAUGUCCUAAAGGUUUUGCAGUUAUUAUCUUACAGAAAGCAACUAGUUUUCCUAUGUAGGGCUUGGAAGUGAAAAAUGGUAUAAGAGGGUCCGGGUAAAAUUUCAAAGUCAAUUGGAAUUGCUUUGUUUUGAAUAAGAGAGAAUUUUUACAGAAUUGUUAUUGGAAGUUUGUGAGAACUCUCUUUCCUCUCUCUCCUUCCCCAAUCAGCUGGUAAUUUUCUUUCCCCAGCCCUGUGACACUACUGCCUUCUUUCUCUUCUUUCUUUUCCUAUCAGUCUAAUCAUGUACUGACC